GAUGAACGCUGGCGGCGUGCCUGAUACAUGCGAGUCGAGCGAACGGACGAGAAGCUUGCUUCUCUGAUGUUAGCGGCGGACGGGUGAGUAACACGUGGAUAACCUACCUAUAAGACUGGGAUAACUUCGGGAAACCGGAGCUAAUACCGGAUGAUAUUUUGAACCGCAUGGUUCAAAAGUGAAAGACGGUCUUGCUGUCACUUAUAGAUGGAUCCGCGCUGCAUUAGCUAGUUGGUAAGGUAACGGCUUACCAAGGCAACGAUGCGUAGCCGACCUGAGAGGGUGAUCGGCCACACUGGAGCUGAGACACGGUCCAGACUCCUACGGGAGGCAGCAGUAGGGAAUCUUCCGCAAUGGGCGAAAGCCUGACGGAGCAACGCCGCGUGAGUGAUGAAGGUCUUCGGAUCGUAAAACUCUGUUAUUAGGGAAGAACAUAUGUGUAAGUAACUGUGCACAUCUUGACGGUACCUAAUCAGAAAGCCACGGCUAACUACGUG
rnacentral:rRNA from 1 species